rnacentral:rRNA from 1 species
UACGUAGGGUGCAAGCGUUGUCCGGAAUUAUUGGGCGUAAAGAGCUCGUAGGCGGCCUGUCACGUCGACUGUGAAAACCCAGGGCUCAACCCUGGGCCUGCAGUCGAUACGGGCAGGCUAGAGUGUGGUAGGGGAGACUGGAAUUCCUGGUGUAGCGGUGAAAUGCGCAGAUAUCAGGAGGAACACCGGUGGCGAAGGCGGGUCUCUGGGCAACAACUGACGCUGAGGAGCGAAAGCGUGGGGAGCGAACAGG